UAAAUCGUAUAGAGGUUACGUGUAUGUGC
rnacentral:sRNA from 1 species